AAAUCUUCCCAACACGGACUUUGAGCUUGAGAGACCACCUCCCCCAAUCAAGAAUGGUCCUAAUGCUCACCCGAAGAAACUGCUUAAUGGAUCUGGACUGAAUUUGUCAAGUCAUCUAUCUAACCACAGUAAUGGCGAUGGCUUGGACCUCUCUCCUGUCAGCAGCAAGAAGAGGAAGGACUUUUUCCCUCAUGGAAAUGAAGAAGAAUGUUACUUGGCUGUUAAUCCUCCAUCUGAUCGUAUUCCAGAUAUAGAAAUGCACCCAAGCGAGCCACACUGGUUGAAUGACUUCAGCGGGGUGAUAAAGAGUGUUUAUGGACCUGUUACAGCUGCAAAAACUAUUUAUGAGGAUGAACAAGGUUACUUGAUCAUCAUUAGUCUGCCCUUUGUAGACCUUCCAAGUGUGAAAGUUUCGUGGAGGAACACUCUGACUCACGGUAUCAUAAAGGUUUCUUGUAUGAGCACAUCUCGAAAACCUUUCAUCAAGAGACAUGACAGGACAUUCAAACUUACAGAUCGAUCGUCAGAGCACUGCCCUCCUGGAGAGUUUGUCCGAGAAAUCCCUCUUUCAACCCGAAUUCCUGAAGAUGCCAACAUAGAAGCAUACUAUGAUGGGCCAGGAUCAGUGCUUGAGAUCCUGGUGCCAAAACAUCGCGUGGGUCCAGAAGAGCAUGAAGUCCGUGUUUGCCUCCGCCCUCAUCUGGGAGGGAAUGAUCUUAAGUUAACAUGAGAUAGGCACUAAAAGAUUGUUAGGAUUUCAGUUUGGUGCGCAUGUCAUUGUUUCUAACUAUGUACCAUACAGUGUUAUCUGCAAUAGAAUUGUGUCUUAUAUACUUGUCUUGUCUCUAGCAAUUUUAGCUCACUGACUGCUCUUGUUCUUUUUGUUCCGGAGCAUCUGUAUGCUUUUGAUUACCAGUAUUGAACAACUAGUUCUCAUAAUUUAUAUGAAAUUAUCAAAUCAAUGCCUUUGAAAUUAUUUGUCAUUUGAUUUCGACCUUUAAUUGGAUUCUGAUUUAUUAUGCUGUUGUCGUAAUUAUCUCUUAAUUUGAAUAGAAUUGUAUUCAAGAGUAGAUGAUAGUUUUGCCUCCCCAUGUGUGUUUAUUCUUGGGAAUACAUCCCUGCAGUUGCAAUGUAAAAGAGUCGUGAUAGAGUUAACUUCCACUACUGUACAAUGAUGAAUCUAACGAACAAAUAAACUGCUCCAAUUGGUCUCCAUGACUGUGUUACUAUAUUAACGUCGUUCGUUAUCUUAUACAGGACUGGGUGGGUUUCUAACGGAAAGUCUGAAACCAUUGGCCAUAAUAUCCACACCUUUUCUAACAGAAAUUUCAAUUCGAGGUACCUACCUUUUUAGACUAUGUUGGAAUAUUGGUAAAAAGAACAAAGUCAACACCCACUAUUAAAUUAGCAAACCUGAAGAACCUGUUACCUGUGGAAUAAUUUUAUUGUUUUCUGAAAUUUCCAAAAAUGAUACGUUGACUAAAUAAUACAAGAUAUUUUACCAAUCUCGUUAUGUGAUUCCUAUGAAGUUUGUAAUGGACUAAGGUUUGAAACGAUGUUGUGGGUGUCCAGAGAAAAAGGAGGCAUAGGGGGAUAUUUUGGGUAACAGAAGGAGCAGGAAGCAAUUGUUGACUAAAAGAUUGGUGUGUUUGUGUGGUGAGUGUUUAGAGCGCAAUGGAUGGAUGGAUGAGAUAGAGUGGAGUGGGGAAGUGUUUCCUUCAUGUUUGUUGGGGAAGGAUGAUGAUUUUCUCCCUCUCCUUUUUUCAUCAGUGCAUGUCCUUUUCUUUUAUUUUCUCUCUCUAUUUGCUCAUUAAAUAUUUACUCUUCUCAUUUACGUGUUAGGAUGCCUACCAUCCUCUGAUAAACAGAUGGAUAACCAGUGGUCCAGUUAACCUUUAUUUUUGGAAAGGAGUGCCACUGGGGGUCAAUUUCAUAUUCAAAAUUCCUUUUAUUAUUAUUAUUUCUUUAUAUAGUUAACAACUCUCCCACCAAUAUCUAAUUAGUGCUUUUUCUAUCUUUUCAUUCUAGUAAAAAAGGACGUAGAAUAAUUUCUUUCAAUUUAUAGAAACUACCUUACUUUUCAUCCUUUUCCCAAAAAGCUUUGUGCCAGUUUAACCAACCAACCAAAAUUGAAAUUUAAUGUGAAUGUUUUCGACAAAACUCAUACUUUUUAAUUAACUCUAAAAAAUCAAUAACUUCUGAUUUAUAAGAUUUACAUUUUGUUUGGAAUCAUUAGAAAAUUAAAGUGAAAAUAUACCAAGUUUUUAAAAAAUCAUUCAAAGUUAAACUAAAUUUCCACAAUAAAAUAAGUAUUUUUUUUCAGCAAUAAAUAAUAUAAUAUAAGUGAUACAAGGGAUACAAAUAUACACAUAUAUACAAUAUGUAUGAUUAAAGGACCAUAUCUAUAAACAAUAUGACAAAAACAUCAUUUAAUUACAAUUUUUUUUAUUAUCAAAACUAUCAUAUAAGUAAUUAUAUAGAACUCGUUGUCAAAAGUAUAAUUUUCUUACUACAACCAAUGACAUUACCUAUUUCCAUUCCACGCAUACUUUAUUUAUCAUUGUCCUAUGCACCUGAGUUUUCCUCCACCUGCAUAAUUUUGUGACACUUCAUUACCAUCCCAAACAUACUAAUCAAAGAACAUACCCAUGAAUGCACCUUGUCUGUAUAAAAUCCCCAAUAUAUUUACAAGAAACUUCUGUACCAGAGGCAUAUCUGCUAUUAAUAGUAGAACCAAAGAACACCCUACUUUUAUACGUUUAGAAUCAUAUACACCUUCCAACCAUCCCACUCUGCCUUCUCUGCUCACAACCACUUCAUCCAAUCUAUUUACACAUGCACAGUCCACGGCAGAAGCAUCAUUGGAAGAAUAAUGGACAUUCCACAUUAUCUAUCUUCUUAUGCCACUUCCAUGAGUACAUCUUUAUCUGCUGAAUACUUUCCCUCCAAAGUACACUUGUUUUCUCUCCACAAACUCAAAGUAAUUGCAAACCAUAAUAUACUCCACACCUCUUAAAAAUACAUUCCCCUUGCUUAUGUUGCCAGAAAUGUGCUUCCACUGAUCCAGAAAACCAAUGUUUACCUCCACCAGCCAUAACAUGUUUUUCAUACCCAAUCCACCUUACGACAACUGAACAAAAUAUGCUUGAAAGAGUCUGGUUCCAACUUACACAUAGGUCAGAGUCAGGUUGGAGGAUAUUUCUCUUACUCAAUUGAUGCAUUGUUAGUAACAUAUUCUUAAUCGUUAUCCAGAUACAAAAAAAACUUACUCUGCAAACAUAUAUCAGACUAAAAGUUUACACUAUUCUCAUCAAACCACCCAUUCAGACUCUUUUUUCAAAACACCAUCUUUAAAUACCUCCACCAUGAAGUUGCUUUUCUGAUAUCCACUUUUUUGUCUUACUUCAUCCCACCCACCAUCCAUUUACUUAAUAAGGCCUUAUUAAACAAAUUUACAUGUUUUACCCCUAAACCACCUACUUCCUUAGGCCUACAAAUCCCAUCUUUUCUAGCAGAUCUUUCUUCUCUCCCACAGAUAACCAUUCUUCAAUUGAACUAGCUUUUUCACAACUUUUUUAGGGAUCUUAUAGAAGGAUAUGAAAAAUAAAGUAAUAACCAAUAGCACAACUUUGACUGUAUACAAAGUCUCUCAACAUGUGAUACCAGUUUUCUCUUCCAAUUCCCUUUCUUUGAUUAGUUAGCACUAAUAAAUAGUCCUAAGUAUGUGAAAGGAAAAGAAAAGGUUCCACAAUUGAGUUUAUUAGCCAUAGCUUCCAAAAUGCUUCAAAAACUUUUAUUUGAACCACACUACCAAAUACCUUCUUUAAUCUCCUCCUUAGUGAACUUAUAUACAAGACUAUUAAUUUUUUGUUUCUGAGAUCCUUCUGAAUUGUACAUCAUCUAGUUGAAUGCUACCUUUGCUCUUCCCAUCAAAUAUAUUCUUAAAGUAUCUUUUCACCUCGUCCUUAACCUUACAAGGCUCUUGCUCCCAUGUUCCUCUGAUGAAAAAUCCCUCCCAACAUAUUCUUACUCCUUUUCCUGUUAAGAUAAGAAUGAAAGAAUUUAGAAGUCUUGUCUCCUUCCUCCAACCAUCUUAUCUUAGUUUUUUUGUCUAUAUACCAAGAUUCAUUUGAUUUUGCUAGUUCCAAAAAUUUUCUGCUACAGUAAGCAAUUUUCCCAUCUUUCUUCACCUUCUAAACUCUACACCUCUUCUUUGAUGUUUAGCUCAUUCAACUUAUUUACCACCUUUUGAAUAUUUACUUCUAUGUUUCCUAUUCACACCCAAUAACUUUCUCUCUCUCGUUCAUUCUUAUUAUAUCGAGAACUUGUUCCAAUAUAUAAUCACUGAUUUAUGAUUUAUAUAUGAAGAAAUUGUAUUUUGGUCAAAUUUUAUAUAAAUAGAUGAGAUUGUAUAUUGGUGGAAGUUGUCAAAUGUUAUAUUAUUGAAAAACUAAAAUAUCAAUUUCUUGAAGUCUACUUGUCAGCGGAAUUAGAAUUGUGAUAAGAGUGCUUGGAAUGUCACUCUUCAAAUGGUAUAUUGAACUAAAUAACAUUUUAAACUAGCUUUUAAUAUAUUAUUAUACUUGUAAAUUAAUCUUUUAACAUUAUUAUUCUAAAACUAAAUCUGCAGUAUUUUUAAAAAAAAUAAAGUAAUACACUCUUAAAUUAUAAAUUGAAAUAUACAAUGUAAUACGCGUUUCCUCAUUUAUUUCAAUUUAAGCUUAAUUUGAAGUUUUGUGAUUUAUGUUUCUAUUGAGUUAAUAGUAAAAUUUAGUGUAUUUUUUUUUCUAGUGCAGAAGUUACUUAAUAUUUUUUUUCAACUCAGUCAAUUUCCGAUGUAAAAUCAAAUUAAAUUGGUUCAAGCUCGUAAAAACUAUCUAAAAUCAAAUUAAUAACCAUUUUAACGUGAUUGUUAAGAAUUUAAAAUGAAAUCAAACACACACUCGAGAAUAAAUCUAAUUUUCAUCUAUAACAAUAUACAAGGUAGAUUUUUUUUUACAUUUUUUAAUUUUAUCGUUUAUAAUAUUAAAUAUAAUAAUUAUUUAUUUUAAAUUAAAAUUUUGAAUUUUAAAAAUUUAGAAAAAAUUGACUUGUAUAAAAAACAAAUAACCCAAUUUCUUACAAAUUUACUCUUACUUUUUUUAAAAAAUUCAAAUAAUUCUUCCCAAUUAAAAACUACUUACACAAUAAAAAAUUGCAUACAACAAAAUUAAAAAAAUUAUUUAUUUUAUAAUUGCUUUUAAUAAAUUUUUUAUAAUUUAAUAAUAUAUUUUUAUUUCAAUAGUUAUUAUAAUAAUAGUAAUUUAAUAAAAAACAAUUGAAUUGUUUUUAAAUAAUAAUGUACUUUAUUUAGAUUAUUUAACUUUUAAUAAAAAUAAUAAUUUUUUAUUUAUUUAAUAAAAUAAAUAAUUGAAUAAUUUAUUUUUAUUUUAAAACAGUUAAAUAACUUCUCUUUUUAUAAAUAACGAUUAUAUAUAUAAUAGUUGUUAUAAUUUAAUAAAAAAAAUUAUUUCUUNNNNNNNNNNNNNNNNNNNNNNNNNNNNNNNNNNNNNNNNNNNNNNNNNNNNNNNNNNNNNNNNNNNNNNNNNNNNNNNNNNNNNNNNNNNNNNNNNNNNAAGUAUAUAUAUAUAUAUAUAUAUAUAUAUAUAUAUAAGAGAGAAAGAGAGAGAGAUUAAUUAGUUUCUUCAAUCAUAAAAGAUUUUGAUUAUAUUUGAUGCAUUUUAAAGCAUAAUAUCAUUAAACAAAUGUUUGAAUAAUUUGAAUUUAAAUAUUAAUAUUAAUGUUCGUUUGAAUUUAUUAUUAAUACAAGUUUGAACUUAUUAAAAUAAAAUCAAUUUAGUGGUGUAUAUAUUAUAAUAAUGACGACUUUUUAUUAAAAUAUUGAAAGAUAAAAAUUUGAAUGUGCAUGUUGUCUUUACAUAAACAAUUAAUUAAUAACCUAAUGCAGAUAUUCAGUUUUAAUAUUAUUGUGAUCCUACAUGUAUAAAGAGUAUUGUUAUUAUUUGUUUUUUUAUUAUAAAAAUUAUUAGUUAUUAGAUGUGUUAUAUAUUUUUUUUCAAGAACUUGUUUUUGUUCCGAUAAUUUAAAAUAAGAACAUUUAUAAUGCGCAUUGUUUUUUUUUCUAAACAAAACAAACUGUUAGUUAGAAAUAAGUAAAAUAAUAUUUGUAUUAAUAUAUAAACAUUAAUUUUAAUACUAAUUAAUAAAGAGCAACAUUUGAAAAAAAAAAAUAUGUGUUAAGUCAAUUUAUAGAAGAUUAUCCGAAACUAUAUUAUAGAUCGGAUAAUUUAGAAAUAUUUUGAAUUUAUUGAAUUUCUAAUAUAGUUUUAGAUUAUAUAAUUCAAAAAAUGAUAGAAAUUGUAUAGAAAAUAAUAUAGUUUGUGGAUGUUUUUAUAUUUUCCUUUUUUAUAUUAUUGGGGUGGUAGAAAAUUGUGGUGUUCACGAAGAAGAUAAUUUUUUUUUAGAACAAAUGACUUAAUCUUCGGCUUAGAGUUGUAAAUACAUAUUCAGUUUAGGACGAGUUUAGUCAGGUAUUAGAUCAAACUGAGUUGGUCUAGUAAAGUCAACUUGAGUUAGUUCAAGUUCAAGUAGAUUCGAGUUAGUUCGGAUUUAGGUCGAGUCGAGUCGGCUUGGGUUCAAGUUGAGUUGUGUUGACUCUAAGCCAAGUUGGUUUGGGUCUAAGCCAAAUUGAAUUGGUUUGGACUAGAUUUAGCCAAGUCGACCUGAAUUAGAUUGAGUUAAGUCAUGUUGGGUUAAUUAGAUAGAGUCAAAUUGACCUAGAUUGAGUUGAGAUUCUACAUCAAAUCGAUCCCACAUUAAAAUUAAUUUAAUUAACAAAGUAAAAUUAAUUUAAAUUUAAUCUAAUAAAAAUAAAAUUAAAAGUAACUAAAUUUUUUUUAUCUAUGAAUCUGAAUUUCAAAUCUAAUAUUGGAUUUUGAUUGGAUUUAGACUGAAUUUCAAAAUCCAAUUGUUGACCCACCCUAACAAUAAACAUAUAAGUAUCUCUUAAUUUAAGUUUAGUUUAUAAUUAUAUUGGUGAAGAUUAUUAUUCUUCGAUGUUGGUGAGUUUGUGCAAAAGAGUUAAAUAGGCACCAGGUAUUUCUAAUGAAGUGUACAUAUAACCUUUAAGAAAUGAAAAUUAAAAUAACUUCAGUUUAAUAUGUUUUUCAUUUCCUUAUUUUCAUAUGAAAUUGAUUUUUUUUAAUUUAAACUUUAUAGCCCAUGUGUACUUAUAUUAAUAUUUUUAUAAUAGUUAUGUAUGCAUACAUGUAAUAUUAUUUAAUUACUUUUAAAAUAAAUUUAUUAAAUUUAUAAUAAUUACUUUUAAAAUUAUAUCAUUAAUGUCUUUAAUUAAUUUACAUCAAAAUAUAUUUACAUUAACAAUACACGUGGCAUGUCUAUAAAGUAAAAGAAUCAAAUAAUGUAACGCUAGAAUUAGUCUAACGGCAAGUUCUUAAUAUUUUUGUUCAUUAUUAAAUAUUGUUAUCGUUUUAGUUAAAAAUCUUAAUAAUUUUAUCGUUAUUAAAUGAUAAUACUUUUCAUCGAGAAUGUUUAAAAUGGGUCAUAUUUUAAUUUGAGAAUUUUAUUGUAUAAUAAAUAAAUUUUGUCUAUUCGUUUAAUAAAAUAAAUAAUUUUUAAUAUUAUUUUUUUGAAUUAUGACUAUUUUAUGUUUUAGACGUAAUUGUAUGAUAAUAUAUAUAUAUAUAUAUAUAUUUAUUUUUACUAUUAUUUAUUUUUUGAUAUAAUAAAAUAUGUUUUCCGCUAAGUAAAAAUGUAAAUACCCCUUUCCGUAGUAAUACAAAUUAUUAAAAUAGAUUUUUGAAUUAAUUGGCAACCUCACCAACCUUAUCUAUGUGUGUCUGUUUCUUUAGAAUGCGAAAGUAAUAAACACAAUGGGCUUAUAAAUUAUAAAUUAUAAAUGAUGAUGAAACGCAUGUAAUUGCUUCUUCUUUCUCUCUCCGCUCGAUUUCACACAAUUCUUCUGUUUCACACUAACAACAAUUACAAAUAGGGUUUUCAUUUGGGGGACACGAAAUAGGGGGAAGUAUCCAGGAGGAGAAUGUGUAGAGAACGUCGAUCAUCGUCGAUUUUAUGAAGCUUCCUCUUCUUCUCCAAUCUCUGAUGAUUAUCCCAAAAGGUAAUCAUCCUUGAAGAUCUCCAUCCUACUCAGUCUCUCUUUCAAAUUUUUUUUUUUUUUUACUCUCCAAUGGAUUUCAUGGUUUUAAUUCAGUGUUUUUCUCCUCAUUUUGGAGAGAUUUUUGAGUUACGUGGAAUAGGGUUAAAUAUAAUUCCCCUCUAGCGUUUUCGAAAUCUCUUCCUCUCUUCUAGAGAUUGAAGAAAUAUCACUAUGUCACUGGCUGAGUUAUAUAUAGGCAGCUAGAUAAAUAGUUAAUUAGUCAAAUUUUUUUCCUGUUCUUGUUGUCGUUCAGGUCUAUUCUUUUUAUUAAUUUAUAGAGAAAAAUGAAUAAUAAUAAUAAUUAUUAUUAUUAUUAUUUCGAAUAGGUUGGAUUUUUUUUAUUUGUUUUCUCUUUUAUUCAAUUCAAUUGAUAUAUCUAGGACUUGAUGAAGGUGAGAUAUAGGGGGAUUGAUAAGAUGAAGGAGUUUAUAAGGUUUUGUUGAAUUGUUUAUGGGAUGCCAAUAUUGUAAGAAUCGGCGAUAAAACUCAUCACCGUGAUGAGGUAGCAUGGGUCUUGCUUCUUUGUCAAUGGAGAAUCACCACCCCUCAACGCUCUUGUCAAUGGACUCAAGUGCAUCAUCUCAUGAGGAACUGGAUUUGGAGAUGAAUCGCCAAAUUGUACUCUCUUGUCCGCCGGAUAUCAACCUGCCCCUCUCCGCUGAGCGUAGUCCGCCUCUACAGCCGUGGAAUUCUGAGCCUUGUGAUAUUCUUGAUGUUGGUCUUGGCACCCAAGGGUAUGAUACUGAAAGUUUUCUCAUUCCGCCCAAAGCUGGGAGGAAGUGUGCAAAGCGUGUUGAUAGCAUAUGGGGUGCUUGGUUUUUCUUCAGCUUUUACUUUAAGCCUUCUCUAAAUGACAAGUCUAAGGCCAAGAUUGUCAGGGAUAGCAACGGUGUUUCAGGGUUCGAUAAAACUGAUCUGAAGCUUGAUGUUUUCAUGGUUCAACAUGAUAUGGAAAACAUGUACAUGUGGGUUUUCAAGGAGAGGCCGGAGAAUGCAUUGGGUAAGAUGCAGCUGAGGAGUUACAUGAAUGGGCAUUCUCGCCAAGGGGAGUGCCCGUUUCCUUUUAGUGUUGACAAGGGUUUUGUUCGAUCCCACCGGAUGCAGCGAAAGCAUUACAGAGGACUAUCAAACCCUCAGUGUGUGCAUGGCAUUGAGGUUGUUUCCGCACCCAAUCUAAUGACCCUGGAUGAGGAUGAUCGAAAAAGGUGGAUAGAACUCACUGGGCGAGAUUUAAAUUUCACAAUCCCAGCUGAAGCAAGUGAUUUCAGUUCAUGGAGAAAUCUUCCCAACACGGACUUUGAGCUUGAGAGACCACCUCCCCCAAUCAAGAGUGGUCCUAAUGCACACUCGAAGAAACUGCUUAAUGGAUCUGGCCUUAAUUUAUCAACUCAUCUCUCUAACCACAGUAAUGGUGAUGGGUUGGACCUCUCUCCUGUUAGCAGCAAAAAGAGGAAGGACUUUUUCCCUCAUGGAAAUGAAGAAGAAUGUUACUUGGCUGUUAAUCCUCCAUCUGAUCGUAUUCCAGAUAUAGAAAUGCACCCAAGUG
rnacentral:lncRNA from 1 species